GGUUUUAUCUAAAGGCACCCUGUAUCUCUUCUGAGAAGUACAUUUGAUCCAGUUUCCUUUUAUCUUCAUCAUAACUGUCAGCAGUCAUCUGGAGGAGUCCUCAGAAUGUUAAACUGACCAUUUUUGCAACUGAACCUUAACUUACUUUCUGCUUACAUCUAUUUAUAACGGAAAUAUAAAUCUCCCUGUAAGUAUAAAAACACUUUUCAGAAGAAAUAGUCACCUGUCUCCUGAAUGAGGAGCUGCUGUAUCCCUCCUCCCAGACUGCCUGGAUUUCCUGAUCUGAAAAAGCCUUGUGGGAAAAAUUACCUCAUGACAUCUUCUUCUGGGCCUUCACUGAAGUACUUCUGGGCUUUCACUGAAAUCCAGGGAGACUGCAGGUGCCAGAAGUAUGACUGGACAAUGAAAAACAGGACCCACACACAAACUCUUCAACCACCUCAUAAGGUAAACACAAAACCCCUUAAGCAAUGCCAUGAGACUUUCUCCAAAA